rnacentral:sRNA from 1 species
AACCCGCGCGGCUAUAUGUCAGGGACGACAAGCCACUACGCCCUGGCGCUGUUUUCUCCCUCAGGCUAUGAGAGGGUAAUAUGGAGCAUGAUAAAUAAUAGCCAUGUAUUAAUUCUCUAAUAUCCAGCCCAGGUUCAAGGGGAAAAAAAAAAAAAAAAAUCUCUAAUUUUCUCAUAUGGAAUGGUAAUAACUGAUUCCAUCUUUGAUCUGUAAAAAGCAAACAAGCCACUACACUCUCAUUAUUGGAUGAGAACCCCCUUGAGGUCUAUCAUAGCCCGAAUGCAUUUGAAUCAACUCAGGAUCUGUGCUGUGUAGCAGUCGCCUCGAAUGCUUUGGAUGGGAAAACUCAUGCCAUCUGCCUUCCACGGCUGCAUUUAUUUAACCUUUGACCUUGUCUUAUCUCAUAUAGAUCAUCUUCAGAAACUUGAAGAGCCAAAAGGUCUGGUUUUGCUUCUUCUCGGCAG